CGACGAUCUGUAGCUGGUCUGAGAGGAUGAUCAGCCACACCGGGACUGAGACACGGCCCGGACUCCUACGGGAGGCAGCAGUGGGGAAUAUUGGACAAUGGGGGCAACCCUGAUCCAGCCAUGCCGCGUGUGUGAAGAAGGCCUUUUGGUUGUAAAGCACUUUAAGCAGUGAAGAAGACUCUGUGGUUAAUACCCACAGACUAUGACAUUAGCUGCAGAAUAAGCACCGGCUAACUCUGUGCCAGCAGCCGCGGUAAUACAGAGGGUGCAAGCGUUAAUCGGAAUUACUGGGCGUAAAGGGAGCGUAGGUGGCUCGAUAAUUCAGAUGUGAAAUCCCCGGGCUCAACCUGGGAACUGCAUGUGAUACUGUUGAGCUAGAGUAUGUGAGAGGAAGGUAGAAUUCCAGGUGUAGCGGUGAAAUGGGUAGAGAUCUGGAGGAAUACGGAUGGGGAAGGCAGCCUUCUGGCAUAAUACUGACACUGAGGCUCGAAAGCGUGGGUAGCAAACAGGAUUAGAUACCCUGGUAGUCCACGCCGUAAACGAUGUCUACUAGUCGUUGGGUCCUUUGAGGACUUAGUGACGCAGCUAACGCAAUAAGUAGACCGCCUGGGGAGUACGGCCGCAAGGUUAAAACUCAAAUGAAUUGACGGGGGCC
rnacentral:rRNA from 1 species